rnacentral:rRNA from 1 species
CCUACGGGAGGCAGCAGUGGGGAAUAUUGGGCAAUGGGCGCAAGCCUGACGCAGCAACGCCGCGUGAAGGAAGAAGGCUUUCGGGUUGUAAACUUCUUUCCUCAGGGACGAAGCAAGUGACGGUACCUGACUAAUAAGCUACGGCUAACUACGUGCCAGCAGCCGCGGUACUACGUAGGGGGCAAGCGUUAUCCGGAAUUACUGGGAGCAAAGGGCGUGUAGGCGGGGACGCAAGUCAGAUGUGAAAACCACGGGCUCAACCUGUGGCCUGCAUUUGAAACUGUGUAGCUUGAGUACUGGAGAGGCGGACGGAAUUCCUAGUGUAGCGGUGAAAUGCGUAGAGAUUAGGAGGAACACCAGUGGCGAAGGCGGUCUGCUGGACAGCAACUGACGCUGAGGCGCGAAAGCGUGGGGAGCAAACAGGAUUAGAUACCCGUGUAGUC